rnacentral:rRNA from 1 species
ACAUGCUUAUAGCAUAGCUUUAAUGCACCAAUGCCAUUAGAACUCUGUAGUUAAGCACAUUUGGGCUAUAGUAGUACUGGGAUGGGUGACUGCUCGGAACGUCCUAGUGUUUUACAUGCC